CAGUCGCCACGGUAAUACAGAGGGUGCAAGCGUUAAUCGGAUUUACUGGGCGUAAAGGGCGCGUAGGUGGUUAUUUAAGUGAGAUGUGAAAUCCCCGGGCUUAACCUGGGAACUGCAUCUUAUACUGGGUAACUGGAGUGCAGUAGAGGGUAGUGGAAUUUCCGGUGUAGCGGUGAAAUGCGUAGAUAUCGGAAGGAACGCCAGUGGCGAAGGCGGCUACCUGGACUGAGACUGACACUGAGGCGCGAGAGCGUGGGGAGCAAACAGGAUUAGAUACCCCGGUAGUCCCUGUCUCUUAUAC
rnacentral:rRNA from 1 species